GGGGAUUUAGCUCAGUGGUAGAGCGCUUGCCUAGGAAGCUCAAGGCCCUGGGUUCGAUCCCCAGCUCCA
rnacentral:tRNA from 1 species